UCGCCGGCGUGAGUGAAGAAGGGUUUCGGCUCGUAAAACUCUGUUGUUAAAGAAGAACACCUUUGAGAGUAACUGUUCAAGGGUUGACGGUAUUUAACCAGAAUGCACGGUAUCUACCUG
rnacentral:rRNA from 1 species